GAAGGAAUAGCUCAGUGGUAGAGUGCCUGCUUAGCAUGCAUGAGGUCCUGGGUUCAAUCCCCAGUACCUCCA
rnacentral:tRNA from 1 species